rnacentral:rRNA from 1 species
AACGUAGGACGCAAGCGUUAUCCGGAGUUACUGGGCGUAAAGCGCGUGCAGGCGGCUCGAUGCGUCUGAUGUGAAAUCUCCUCGCUCAACGGGGAGAGGCCAUUGGAAACGGUCGGGCUGGAGGGCAGUAGAGGUAGGCGGAAUUCCGGGUGGAGUGGUGAAAUGCGUAGAGAUCCGGAGGAACACCAGAGGCGAAGGCGGCCUACUGGGCUGCACCUGACGCUGAGCCGCGAAAGCCAGGGGAGCGAACGGG